rnacentral:rRNA from 1 species
UACGUAGGGUGCAAGCGUUAAUCGGAAUUACUGGGCGUAAAGCGUGCGCAGGCGGUGAUGUAAGGCCGAUGUGAAAUCCCCGGGCUUAACCUGGGAACUGCAUUGGUGACUGCAUUGCUGGAGUAUGGCAGAGGGGGGUGGAAUUCCACGUGUAGCAGUGAAAUGCGUAGAGAUGUGGAGGAACACCGAUGGCGAAGGCAGCCCCCUGGGCCAAUACUGACGCUCAUGCACGAAAGCGUGGGGAGCAAACAGG